rnacentral:pre_miRNA from 13 species
GCAUCUCCCAGAUACUGUAUUUUUUAUCUGCUUUUGGUUGAAAUAAAUAUGCAUAUAAGUGAACCCAUGCAGUUCAAGCCCAUGUUGUUCAAGUGUCAACUGUAUCUAGUAG